rnacentral:tRNA from 1 species
GUCCCUAUCGUCUAGUGGCCCAGGACUCCGCCAGUUCCCGGCGGCAACAUAGGUUCGAAUCCUGUUGGGGACGCCA